rnacentral:tRNA from 1 species
ACAUUGGUGGUUCAGUGGUAGACUUCUUGCCUUCCAUUCCGGAGACCUGGCUUUAAUUCCCAGCCAAUGCA